rnacentral:rRNA from 1 species
GAUGAACGCUGGCGGCGUGCCUAAUACAUGCAAGUCGAGCGAACAGAUGAGGAGCUUGCUCCUUUGACGUUAGCGGCGGACGGGUGAGUAACACGUGGGUAACCUACCUAUAAGACUGGAAUAACUCCGGGAAACCGGGGCUAAUGCCGGAUAACAUUUAGAACCGCAUGGUUCUAAAGUGAAAGAUGGUUUUGCUGUCACUUAUAGAUGGACCCGCGCCGUAUUAGCUAGUUGGUAAGGUAACGGCUUACCAAGGCAACGAUACGUAGCCGACCUGAGAGGGUGAUCGGCCACACUGGAACUGAGACACGGUCCAGACUCCUACGGGAGGCAGCAGUAGGGAAUCUUCCGCAAUGGGCGAAAGCCUGACGGAGCAACGCCGCGUGAGUGAUGAAGGUCUUCGGAUCGUAAAACUCUGUUAUUAGGGAAGAACAAAUGUGUAAGUAACUGUGCACGUCUUGACGGUACCUAAUCAGAAAGCCACGGCUAACUACGUG